GUGUAAGCGUAGCGAUACGUUGAGCUAACCGAUACUAAUGAACCGUGAGGCUUAACCUUACAACGCCGAAG
rnacentral:rRNA from 1 species